GGGGUUGUGGCUCAGUGGUAGAGCGCUCGCCUAGCACGUGUGAGGCACUGGGUUGGAUACUCAGCACCA
rnacentral:tRNA from 1 species